UACAGAGGGUGCAAGCGUUAAUCGGAAUUACUGGGCGUAAAGCGCGCGUAGGUGGUUUGUUAAGUUGGAUGUGAAAGCCCCGGGCUCAACCUGGGAACUGCAUUCAAAACUGACAAGCUAGAGUAUGGUAGAGGGUGGUGGAAUUUCCUGUGUAGCGGUGAAAUGCGUAGAGAUCAGGAGGAACACCCGUGGCGAAGGCGGCACUCUGGGCCAGCCCUGACGCUGAGAGGCGAAAGCGUGGGGAGCGAACGGG
rnacentral:rRNA from 1 species